rnacentral:rRNA from 1 species
CGAACGCUGGCGGCGUGCCUAAUACAUGCAAGUCGAGCGGACAGAUGGGAGCCUGCUCCCUGAUGUUAGCGGCGGACGGGUGAGUAACACGUGGGUAACCUGCCUGUAAGACUGGGAUAACUCCGGGAAACCGGGGCUAAUACCGGAUGCUUGUUGAACCGCAUGGUUCAAACAUAAAAGGUGGCUUCGGCUACCACUUACAGAUGGACCCGCGGCGCAUUAGCUAGUUGGUGAGGUAAUGGCUCACCAAGGCAACGAUGCGUAGCCGACCUGAGAGGGUGAUCGGCCACACUGGGACUGAGACACGGCCCAGACUCCUACGGGAGGCAGCAGUAGGGAAUCUUCCGCAAUGGACGAAAGUCUGACGGAGCAACGCCGCGUGAGUGAUGAAGGUUUUCGGAUCGUAAAGCUCUGUUGUUAGGGAAGAACAAGUACCGGUCGAAUAGGGCGGUACCUUGACGGAACCUAACCAUAAAGCCCCGGCUAACUACGUGCCAGCAGACGCGGUAAUACGAGAGUGGCAAGCGUUGUCCGGAAUUAUUGGGC